UGCUGUUGGAAGCUGCAGCAGAAGAGAAGAAGGACUAAAGGAAGAACUCUCACAGAGCUGAGUAGAACUUUAUAUACAUUUUAGUUAUAGUUAAUAUAUAUGUCUUAACGUUUCAAACAUUUCCCUGUUAUUUGGUAAAGGCUCUAGUAUACUCCGCCUUUAAGGGGCCGGAAUGUUAGUUUGAAAUUCGAUACUAGAUAAUACGCGCUAUUAGCCCUUGGGCACAGAACUUAAUUAAUCAUAAACGAAAAGCGAUUCGAUCUGAGAGAAAGAGCACUAAAUCUAAAGUAUAAAAGAAAACCUUAUUGGAAUUGAAAUUUGGCCAAAAUCAACGAAAAGAAGUAGAGAGGAAACCAAAGUAAGACAGAUUAUGACUUAUUUUCUUGUUGAACUUGAUUAUUUGUACCGAAGUAUUGAACAGAUCCUAUUGUCACGAUAUAUUCUCUACAUAUUAAUUUUAUAGUUAAAUUUAGGCUUAUACUUAGUAUAGUUUAUUUGUUUCUAUUUAGUUCGAACUCGCACGAUCGAUGAACUAUUGUAACCGUACAAUCUCGAAUUAAAGUCUAUAGUGUAUAGUCUUGUCUAUUGCCUUCAAAUCAGCGAAGUUCGAAUUAACUCCUCAACCUCACGCAACCAGAAAUAAAAGCCAUCAACCCCC
rnacentral:lncRNA from 1 species